UACGGAGGAUGCAAGCGUUAUCCGGAUUUAUUGGGUUUAAAGGGUGCGCAGGUUGUUUGAUAAGUCAGUGGUGAAUGUCUGUCGCUUAACGGUAGGAUUGCCAUUGAUACUGUUGGACUUGAAUAUGGAUGAGGUAGGCGGAAUGUGUAGUGUAGCGGUGAAAUGCUUAGAUAUCACACAGAAUAUCAAUUGCGAAGGCAGCUCACAAAGCCAAGAUUGACGCUGAGGCACGAAAGUGUGGGGAU
rnacentral:rRNA from 1 species